GUUGCAUCAUCAGCAGCUUAGAAUUGUGCAUUUCUUUACUCAAUCAGGAACAAAGAUUGAGUCUUUGAGUGUGCUUUUUAUAAAAUACAAAAAGACUGAAGUUUUGAUUUCCACUAGUAGUAGCAGUAGAGACAAAUUUGGAAUCCUAAUAUCCUAAAAAUGAAACAGCUGGGGGGGUUAUAGCUAGAGGAAGAUGAUCCGAGGCUUCCCUUCGGGAUUCUCAUAGGAAAAGACGCCGAACAGUAUACGAAACAG
rnacentral:lncRNA from 1 species